UUUACGGUAAUUUUAGGUGAACGCAGAUUUGGGACGCACCGCACGCUGCGCAGUUGUCGCAUUCGAUUUUUUUA